UAAGGAGGAUGCAAGCGUUAUCCGGAAUGAUUGGGCGUAAAGCGUCCGCAGGUGGCAAUGUAAGUCUGCUGUCAAAGCGUCUGGCUCAACCAGAUAAAGGCAGUGGAAACUACAUAGCUAGAGUAAGGUAGGGGUAGAGGGAAUUCCCGGUGUAGCGGUGAAAUGCGUAGAUAUCGAGAGGAACACCUGCGGCGAAGGCGGGUAGCUGGGCCGACACUGACGCUGAGGCGCGAAAGCCAGGGGAGCGAACGGG
rnacentral:rRNA from 1 species